UACAGAGGUCUCAAGCGUUGUUCGGAUUCAUUGGGCGUAAAGGGUGCGUAGGCGGCGCGGAAAGUCGGGUGUGAAAUUUCGGAGCUUAACUCCGAAACUGCAUUCGAUACUCCCGUGCUUGAGGACUGGAGAGGAGACUGGAAUUUACGGUGUAGCAGUGAAAUGCGUAGAGAUCGUAAGGAAGACCAGUGGCGAAGGCGGUUCUCUGGGCCUGUGACUGACGCUGAGGAGCGAAAGCGUGGGGAGCGAACAGG
rnacentral:rRNA from 1 species